rnacentral:lncRNA from 1 species
UUAGAUAUGAACUUGAAUUGAAAACUUGAACUUAUUAAAACUUGAAUAUAUAUAUAUAACUAAUAUUCUUGGAUUUGAAGUUUAUAUUUCACUAAUUUUAGAACUUUUUGUGCUAAGCAACUGAGAAAGCUCAACAUCUAAAAAAGUUGAUACAAGACUAUAUUGCUUCUUUCAUCAAAGUAGGAGAUAAGGUUGGUGCUUCUAAAUUUCUAAAGUUCAAGUACAAUUAUUUUCAAUAAUGUGUUUGUGUCCAUCUAGUAUUGAUACUUAGCUUUACUUCUAGUGAUUAUUUUUUUGUUUCCAUCGAUUGUUUGUUAAGCAUAAGUACCAACACUAGUUGAUCCUAUUGAUGACAAAAUUGAUUUUCUUGCAAGAUCGAUUUGUGUCCAUCUAGUGUUGACACUUAGCUUUAAAUUUAGAAAUAAUAUAUUUGUUAAGCAUGAGUACCAACACUAGUUGAUCCUAUUGAUGACAAAAUUGAUUUUCUUGCAAGAUCGAUUUGUGUCCAUCUAGUGUUGACACUUAGCUUUAAAUUUAGAAAUAAUAUAUUUGUUAAGCAUGAGUACCAACACUAGUUGAUCCUAUUGAUGACAAAAUUGAUUUUCUUGCAAGAUCGAUUUGUGUCCAUCUAGUGUUGACACUUAGCUUUAAAUUUAGAAAUAAUAUAUUUGUUAAGCAUGAGUAUCGAUUUGUGUCCAUCUAGUUUUGACACUUGACUUUAAAUUUAGAAAUAAUAUAUUUGNNNNNNNNNNNNNNNNNNNNNNNNNNNNNNNNNNNNNNNNNNNNNNNNNNNNNNNNNNNNNNNNNNNNNNNNNNNNNNNNNNNNNNNNNNNNNNNNNNNNUUUCAUGAUGAGCCUAGGAGCCUAUGUGAAUGUAAAACCUUAAAGCGGUAGACCUAAUGGUGGGUGCCUUCUUCUUGUAUGAAAUGAUAGACUUAGAGACCGGUAGACCCAAAGGUGGUGCCCCUCUCUAGGAAAGUCAAUGAGCUAUCCUUAAUGAACCUUGAUCGGUAGAUCUUUGUGGUGCCUUUCUUGGUAGAUGUGUUAUGGGUCGGUAGACCUAAUGAUGGUGCCCCAUCUAGUACACACAUGUGAAUGAAAGUACUCUAUGGGAACUAAGGCUAAGCACCGAGUGGAUAUGGUUAAGAUGGUAGCUCUUCGCGAGUAUGAGGCGAGAGUACAAUGAACAUCUUUGCAUAUCCCCUAAACCAUGUGCCUACAUGGGAUGUGUCCUAGUUCUACCCUUGGCAAGUAAAACACCUUCCACGGUGUAGGGUUUUAUGACACCGGAUUCCAUGUCUAGCUUGCAUGGUCUAUGUCGGUUAAUGCCUAUUCCCAUCAUGUGGGAUGUGCACUCUAGUUAUUGGAUAGGUUCUACAACGUGUAGGUAGUAGUAUGGGAUGCUAUCUACACAUGGCCCAAGUAGGCUUUGAAGAUGCUAAAGUGAGUUCCCUAAGCCUUAAUGACUAAUGUUUGAAACUCCUCUAAAUGCAUGAAUGUGUCCUAAAUAUCUCUCAUGAAGAAUGUUGGCUCCUAAUUGCUUAGAACGUGAAGAUGCAUGCUAUGUUUGACUUGUAUUAUGAAUGUAGACUUAUUGAUAUUAUGUUGAAAUAGAAAGGUCCUUAUCUAUGGUAGCCUUGAGGAACACUUAGGUGUGUAUGAAGAGGUUGUAUGGGCGGCCACUUCAUGUCUCACUUAGGUGUAUCUUAGGGUAACUUUAGAUAGAGGUUCUAAGAUGAUGAAAUGACUUAUUUGAUGAAUAUGUUCAUGUGCUGUAUGUUGGUACUAAUUGAGCAUGAUAACUUGUAAUAUGAAGCAUGAUAAGUGGUAAAUUCACUUUUGGUGACCUUAAGGUGAUGCUUUAGUGUGGAUGGUGGUAUGGAACGCUAUCCAUACAUUGCACCAAGUGUUGUCUAAGGGUUACUUGAGGUGGAUGUUUAAAGGUAAAGGUAAUUGGGCUUAUAUGUGUUGAGCAUGUCUAUAUGGUGAUAAAGGACUUGUAUGUUGGUGAUGGUUGAUUGUUGUGACUCUUGUACUUGUGUUCAUGAAGUUUUACUAAAAUGGCAUAAGGUAUGACUUUCAACCAAAUGUCCUUUUUAGCAUGUUUUUGCAUGGUUUCCAUACUUAGUACUUAAUUGUGCUAACCCCUUUCUUUCCCUUUUGACUAAAGUGUAGGGAUUUGGAGAUGUUGAUAUUCCAUGGUUGAUGGAUAGGUUUCUAAGGUGUUUGAAGAUGAAGACUUGGUGAGUCCUCAUAGAUUCGAGGACAAUACCCUACAUGUUCCUUUAUGUCUUGUAGUUUUGUUAUAGUUUUGAGUGGGCUUAGUCCCAAAUGUUGUAUUCAAGUAUUAGAUGGUUUUGAGACAUCAUGUAUAAAGUCUAGAAAGUCUUUCGCUUGUUAUUUAAUGAAAGUAUCUUUGUGUGUGAAGAAAGUUUUUAAUUCCUUAUGGUUUUUAGUGUCUAUGCGAUGAAUGAUUGCUAAGAGGCUUGUAUUAGACCUACAAGAGGUCGAGUACGCCGAUUACGACUAGGGGGUGCUCUCGGGUCGUGACACUUGAACUCUUGGGUUUCGAGAUUACUACUCAGGGAAAAAGAUAUAAUAAUUAUUGAUUUGAAUCUUGAUCUUGAAUAUUAUCUGAUAUAUAUUUUUAUGGUUAUUAGUCAUAAGUAAAGUUUAUUUGAGUUCGAUUUGUAAAGCAAUGAUAGUUGAUGGCUAGGUCGUUUCAAAUGUUUGCACUUGUGUGUUUAGAGCCUAAUGUUCUGAAAACAAAUAAGUGUAUCAAAUAGCCCAGUUGAAGCUUCAUUCUUGAUCUUAGAGUUAUAUUUGUACAACAUUUUAGUGAAGUUAAUGGCUAUGUGGUUUCAGAUCAUUAGCACAUGAUUGAAGCCCUACUCUUGCUCUCUUCGAAUUUGGAAUUUUAUAUUAGAGGACUUAUGUGGUUUUCAUUUGCAUUGUGCCAAUCUGCUGAGGGAGGGUCGAUGUUGUGGCUUUCUUUUGUUGUCUCCUUUAUUUGUCGCUGGACUUGGUCUUCUUACCUUUUAUGUCAUCAUGGUAAGAAGACCAAGUAAUGUACAAAACACAAUGUUGCCCUUUUACCUUUUAUGCCAUCACUGGACUUGGUCUUCUUACCUUUGAUCAAAUGGUUUGUUACAUUCAUAUCCGUGUUGCCCUUUUUUACAUUCAUAAACCAAGUAGUUUUAUAUCUCAAAUAACUCAUAAUUUCUUAUAAGCAAACCUGUUUUUCUUAUUGAUAUUAUUUUAAAGUGAAAAGGAUAUGAUUGUCAAGUAACUUUCAUUUGAAAUUUUCAUGGUGCAAGGACUUGGAUGACCACUAAAGAAAUUUUCAAUUGUUUCUUUUCUUGCUAGGCAACUGAGGAAGCUCAACAUCUAAAAAAAUGGAUACAAGACUAUACUACUUCUUUCAUCAAAGUAAGAGAUAAGGUUUGGUGUUUCUAAAUUACUAAAGUUCAAGUACAAUUUUUUUUAUAAUGUGUUUGUGUCCAUCUAGUAUUGAUACUUAGCUUUAAUUUUGUAAUAAUUUGUUUGUGUCCAUCGAGUGUUUGUUUAGCAUAAGUACCAACACUAGUUGAUUCUAUUGAUAACAAAAUUGAUUUUCUUGCAAGAUCGAUUUAUGUCCAUCUAGUUUAAAUUUAGAAAUAAUAUAUUUGUUAAGCAUGAGUACCAACACUAGUUGAUCCUAUUGAUGACAAAAUUGAUUUUCUUGCAAGAUCGAUUUGUGUCCAUCUAGUGUUGACACUUAGCUUUAAAUUUAGAAAUAAUAUAUUUGUUAAGCAUGAGUACCAACACUAGUUGAUCCUAUUGAUGACAAAAUUGAUUUUCUUGCAAGAUCGAUUUGUGUCCAUCUAGUGUUGACACUUAGCUUUAAAUUUAGUUUUGACUUGUUUAGUUGUUGCAAUUAAAAUAAGUUCAAAUGAAGUUUAAUUAACCUCUAGCUAGUUUGACUCAUUAUUUAAAAUAAUGUGGUUUAGUUGGUGGAUUUAGUGUUGUAUUAAGUCAAAACUAAACUAGUUAAAGAGUUAAAGUUGUUUAAAUAAGUUAAAUUAAUUAAUGUGGUUUAGUUGGUGGAUUUAGUGUUGUAUUAAGUCAAAACUAAACUAGUUAAAGAGUUAAAGUUGUUUAAAUAAGUUAAAUUAAUUAAUGUGGUUUAGUUGGUGGAUUUAGUGUUGUAUUAAGUCAAAACUAAACUAGUUAAAGAGUUAAAGUUGUUUAAAUAAGUUAAAUUAAUUCAUUAAAGUUGUUUAGUUGUUUAAAUAAGUUCAAAUAAAUAAUGUGGUUUAGUUGGUGGAUUUAGUUUGUGGAAUUAAGUCAAAACUAGUUAGAGUUAAAGUUUUUUGGCUAUUUAAAUAAGUUCAAAUAAAUAACUUGGUUUAGUUGGUGGAUUUAGUUGUUGGAAUUCAGUCAAAACUAAUUAGAGUUAAAGUUGUUUAAAUAAGUUCAAAUAAGUAAUGUGAUUUAGUUGGUGGAUUUAAUUGUUGGAAUUAAGUCAAAACUAGUUAGAGUUAAACAUGUUUGGUUGUUUAAAAAAGUUCAAAUAAAUAAUGUGGUUUAGUUGGGGGAUUUAGUUGUUGGAAUUAAGGCAAAACUGGUUUGAGUUAAUAUUGUAAGUUCAAAUAAAUAAUGUGGUUUAGUUGGUGGAUUUAGUUGUUGGAAUUAAGUCAGAACUAUUUAGAGUUAAAAAAGUUGUUUAGUUGAAAUAAGUUCAAAUAAAUAAUGUGGUUUAGUUGUUGGAAUUAAGUCAAAACUACUUAGAGUUAAAAAGUUGCUUAGUUUUUGGAAUUAAGUCAAAACUAAUUAGAGUUAAAGUUGUUUAGUUGUUUAAAUAAGUUUAAUUAAAUAAUGUGGUUUAGUUGGCGGAUUUAGUUAUUGGAAUUAAGUCAAAAUUAGUUAGAUUUAAAGUUGUUUAAAUAAGUUCAAAUAAAUAAUGUGGUUUAGUUGGUGGAUUUAGUUGGUGGAAUUAAAUAAAAAAUAGUUAGAGUUAAAGUUGUUUAAAUAAGUUCAAAUAAAUGAUGUGGUUUAGUUGGUGGAUCCCGUUGUUGGAAUUAAGUCAGAACUAUUUAGAGUUAAAAAAGUUGUUUAGUUGAAAUAAGUUCAAAUAAAUGAUGUGGUUUAGUUGGUGGGUUUAGUUGAUGGAAUUAAUUCAAAACUAGUUAGAGUUUUUUUUGUUUUUUCAAACUAGUUAGAGUUAAUGUUGUUUAGUUGUUGAAAUAAUUUCAAAUAAAGUUUAAUUAACCCCUAGCUAGUUUGAUUCAUUAUUUGAGAUAAGAGGUAUGAGAUGCUUUAGGCCAAACUAACUUUUCUUUUUGAAUCAGGAAAAAUUCUUCCUCCAUGUCCGGCC